GUAUCCAAAGGGAUACCACAAUCGCUCCUAUCUCCCUUCAUGGCAAAGGGUGUCUGUCAUACCAUGUAUGAUGCAAAUUGUCAAAUGAAAGAAAAGCGGAAACCUUCACACUGAAAAAGUCGAAUGGGCAACAAAUGCCACAUUCAUUAAAUUAUUAAAUAC